UCUAAAAAUCAAACUCCAGAAUUUAUAUUUCUCCGGCGAAGUUUGAGGUGAAUCUUUCGAUCUGAGAUCUUCAUCAACUUCUGGGAGAACCGCCGAAACGAUUAGCUUUUUGACUCACCGUACUCCACCGCUUUAGCCGGUAUAACCUCCGCCUUUGCAAGAAAAACCAAACCUGUAUCGACGAGACUCUCCUCCUAAUCGAAUCAUUUAAAGAGAAAUGGUAAGCAAUUGGUUGUGGUCCUCUCAAAUCAACCCAUGGGGAAGGGAUCGUUUAUGAUCGGUUGAUUUGUUAUGUCAUCGUUGCUUCGUCUCCGGUUCUCGACUCGUUGAGUUAGAACUAUCAUCAACAAUGGUGAUUUACGUAAGAAUUGAUGUGGCGAAUCAGCUUGGUUCCUUCCACCGGAAUAAAGGAAGGAUCAUCCGUCAAUGAAUAAAAAUUCAGGAACAAUUAUCGAGUUCAAGCAACGAUUUUGCAAGAAGAUGAAGAGAAAGUGGUGGUGGAGGAGUCAUUUAAAGCCGAGACAUUUACUGGUAAAGAACCACUUGAGUAGUCAAAUACGAGUUCUUCUUCAACUACUUUGUUUGACUCAUGAAUCAUUAAGCAUGAGCAAGGAGUGAAUGUCUCCUUACUGUAAGGGUUUUAUAUUGUUGCGUCUUACUAGAAAUUUAGAAAGUUUGAUAAUUGAUUGUAUGUUCAUGUUAUUAACAAGAGUUAUUUCAUUUCUUCU